rnacentral:RNase_P_RNA from 1 species
GCGGAGGGCCGGAUGGCCGCGUGGGGUGCGCCUCACGAGGAAAGUCCGGACUCCCUGAAGCAACGGUGCCGGGUAACGCCCGGGCGGGGCAACCCGACGGAAAGCGCCACAGAAAUGAAACCGCCUUGGGGAUGUCAGAGGUUCACCUCCGGCCAAACCAGGGUAAGGAUGAAACGGUGGGGUAAGAGCCCACCGCGCCGCUGGCAACAGCGGUGGCACGGCAAGCCCCACCGGGAGCAAUGCCAAAUAGGACCCCCGCGCGGGCAGGUCGGCGUCAGCCGAAACCGCCGCUAGGCUCGCUUCAGCCGAGAGGGGUCGGGUUGGCAGCUGGAGGCACUCGGCAACGGGUGCCCUAGAUGAAUGGUCAUCGAAGGGGGCAACCCCGGAACAGGAUCCGGCUUACAGGCCCUCCGCGCAU